UACGAAGGGGGCUAGCGUUGCUCGGAAUCACUGGGCGUAAAGGGCGCGUAGGCGGCCAUUCAAGUCAGAGGUGAAAGCCCAAGGCUCAACCUUGGAACUGCCUUUAAUACUGUUUGGCUUGAGACCGGUAGAGGUAAGUGGAACUGCGAGUGUAGAGGUGAAAUUCGUAGAUAUUCGCAAGAACACCAGUGGCGAAGGCGGCUCACUGGCCCGGUACUGACGCUGAGGUGCGAAAGCGUGGGGAGCAAACAGG
rnacentral:rRNA from 1 species